GACGAACGCUGGCGGCGUGCCUAAUACAUGCAAGUAGAACGCUGAAGGAGGAGCUUGCUUCUCUGGAUGAGUUGCGAACGGGUGAGUAACGCGUAGGUAACCUGCCUGGUAGCGGGGGAUAACUAUUGGAAACGAUAGCUAAUACCGCAUAAGAGUAGAUGUCGCAUGACAUUUGCUUAAAAGGUGCAAUUGCAUCACUACCAGAUGGACCUGCGUUGUAUUAGCUAGUUGGUGAGGUAACGGCUCACCAAGGCAACGAUACAUAGCCGACCUGAGAGGGUGAUCGGCCCCACUGGGACUGAGACACGGCCCAGACUCCUACGGGAGGCAGCAGUAGGGAAUCUUCGGCAAUGGACGGAAGUCUGACCGAGCAACGCCGCGUGAGUGAAGAAGGUUUUCGGGUCGUAAAGCUCUGUUGUAAGAGAAGAACGAGUGUGAGAGUGGAAAGUUCACACUGUGACGGUAUCUUACCAGAAAGGGACGGCUAACUACGUG
rnacentral:rRNA from 1 species